CAGUGGGACUCCUACGGGAGGCAGCAGUGGGCCCCACUCCCACGGGAGGCAGCAGUGGGACUCCUACGGGAGGCAGCAGUGGGACUCCUACGGGAGGCAGCAGUGGGACUCCUACGGGAGGCAGCAGUGGGGCAGUUGGCUCAGAACGAACGCUGGCGGCUGGCUCAGAACGAACGCUGGCGGCCCCACUCCUACGGAGGCAGCAGUG
rnacentral:misc_RNA from 1 species